UGCAAUGAGAGUUGUGCUAAGGUAGCGCGAUAAUUUGUCUCUUAAUUGGAGAAUGGUAUGAAAGGUUUGACGUAGAUCGAUUGUCUCUAUAAAAAAAAAUGAAGUUUCCUUUUAAAUGAAAAGGUUUAAAUUUUUGUAAAAGACGAGAAGACCCUGCCGAGCUUAAUUAGGCUUUCAAUUUAGUUAUUGUUACUGUUUUUAAAGUUGAAUUUUAGUUGGGGAAAGCUAAGCUUAAGAGAACAAGUUUAUAAAGAUAUAGAUCCUCUUUGAGAGAAAGUUAGUAAAAGCUACCGCAGGGAUAACAGCGUAAUUUUUCUUGGGAGAUCGAAUUGAGGGAAAAGUUUGCGACCUCGAUGUUGGAUUAUAA
rnacentral:rRNA from 1 species